rnacentral:rRNA from 1 species
AUACGGAAGGUCCGGGCGUUAUCCGGAUUUAUUGGGUUUAAAGGGAGCGCAGGCUGAUUAUUAAGCGUGACGUGAAAUGUAGCCGCUCAACGGCUGAACUGCGUCGCGAACUGGUAGUCUUGAGUGAGUUCGAUGUUGGCGGAAUUCGUGGUGUAGCGGUGAAAUGCUUAGAUAUCACGAAGAACUCCGAUUGCGAAGGCAGCCAACAAGGCCUUUACUGACGCUAAAGCUCGAAGGUGCGGGUAUCGAACAGGAUUAGAUACCCUGGUAGUCCGCACGGUAAACGAUGGAUGCCCGCUGUUUGCGAUAUACUGUGAGCGGCCAAGAGAAAUCGUUAAGCAUCCCACCUGGGGAGUACGCCGGCAACGGUGAAACUUAAAGGAAUUGACGGGG